CGCACCUCUCGUCUAGGCGGGAGGGCCGCGUGAGAUUUGGCCCCUGAAGGGAUCCGUCCGAUGGAAGACAAGUCAGUGGCUCGGGAAAGUGACGCUUGAGCCUGCGGAUUUCUGGGAACGACGCAGGUUCUCGCGAGGGGCCGCCCAGUUCCUGAAGGAGUUAAAAAAUAGUCAAGUCCGUAGUCUGGAUUAACGCUGGGACGGCUCGCUUGUUAGUGUGUUCAUUUGCGUCGUUAGUCUAACCUGGAGGAUGAAAGCCGUACCGGAGUCUGUUCUGUUGUAAUCUUGUUUAUCAACUCCCAUGUCUCCCCUUUAUUUCCCACCCUAGCUGUGAAUCUCCGGAUAAAUUAGACCCCAUCGGGAACCUGAGUGUGUUGUUCAGUUGAUUCUCCUGCUUGUCUUCUGAUAUGUUUAUGCUGACGUUCUCUAAGGAGAAGAUAUCUAGAGGCAAGAUUGCCAGAUUCAGGAAUACAUAGCUGAAGUUGUACUUGAUAAAGGCGAGAGAAAGGGAAGAAAAUCUUAAAGCUGAACCAGCUCUAAGAAUCUCUUUUGGAGCAAAACUACACCUAGAAGAAGCAAGAAUGUAAUCUUUCAACAAAC